UUUAAUUGCGGCAAACAGGAAAGUUUCCCAUUAGAAUGCAACUCUGAUGGACUGGAUAGCUGUGUGCCCACCCUUGAAGCUGUAAGCAUCCUGGACACCCAUUCCAGAAGGAUGUUUUUGUCAGAUGGAGAUUCCACUUUAGGAAAAUAUUAAAACAAAGAUUUCAAAGGGGCUUCAGAAAAUGCUUAAAGGCCGUAGACCAAAUGCUGUUUUGCUGUCUGAAGAGAUCUCAGCAAAGGGGCAGUAGUUAAAGAGGAACGAUUACAUUGUAAAAAGCCAUAAAACCUUCCAGGAUUCAGAGUCUCAGGGGAUCAGUGAUGUAACUCUGGAUUGUUCCCUGUGCUGAAGGCUUGGCUCCUGAUGCCACAUGAUGGUGAGAAUGCCAUGGAGCUGACAUGGAUCAGAAAGCAGAAAGGAACCCAAGACGAAGUCACACAUUGUGGAUCCAUAGAGCCCGACAUCACUAGACUGUGUUGCCAAGAUGGCAUGGCUCAGGCAUCACUACUGGAAGUGCUGGCACUUAGCUCUGGGAAAUCAGUGGGACUCACUGUGGAGCAAAGCAUUGUCAGCAAGGUCCCAUCAAGAAGUCGCACUGUAUUUUUCUCCAUUGCUCCCUGUGGAGUUCAUGUGUUCAGCCUUCUUUCUAAUGAUGGCACUAAGCAGCUGUCAGCUAUUAUCUGAUGAUGUUGCUGCUUCACAGAUCUGCCUGUUUGUGUUAUAGAAGGAUGCCAGGACCACUCUGUCCUUCAUUACAUGAUGGAGACUCGGUUGCUCUAACAGAAACUCUGAAUCCUGCUGGCUGCUGUAAAGAAAUGAGAAGGAAGUUUCAGUCUUCCAGUUGGGGAGGAGUGACACAGAUGUUUAAGACGCAAGCAGCUUAGAUGUAACACAUUGUGA